rnacentral:lncRNA from 1 species
UCUAAGAUUGAGAAAACAUAUUUGUAUAAUAACAUCACAUGGCAAAAUGACCCAAUGACAACAUGUAGCGCUAAAUGUUAAUUACAAAUGUGUAGGUUUGGGCAUUUUUCUAAGUUUUAGAAUUGCAAUAUACUGGUAUGCUUUCCUAUUCUUGAUUACAUACAUCACUCACAUGAAGCAACAAAGCAGCACAUUAGUUGAUCCAACAAAAUAGGGAAACUGUAAACCACAUUCUUUGGUCUAUACUUCCCAUGCAUGAGCCGUAAAACAUUUUUGCCUUUUUUCCGAAGCAUGGGCAGCAUGACCAUAAAUGUUGACCUUUCAUUCUCUUUGCUAAGUAGUGAGAGUACCACCCAAUAGAUGUUUCCAUUUAUCUGUUAGGGCUGCAAAAAAGUAGUCAUGUACAGUUAACUUCAAAUUAUAUUAAGUUGCACUCUCACAUCUUUAAAAGCAUUCUGGAAAAUUGAGAGUACGUAACAUUAUAAGAUUGCAUUAAAAAUUUAAUAGCCGCAGCUAUAAGCAAAUUUCAGAAAGACUCCAAGUUCAGUAAGUGACAACUAAAGACCGUAAUAAUCAACAAUUGUAAACACCUAGCAUAAUUUGAUAAUUUAGGAGUGGAUACCGACUGGACGCAUAGCAUAACUUGAUUACAAUACGAACAUCUGCUAUGCAUGAGCAUCACAAGCUUGUCAAGCUUGAAACCAAGUUCGCGUCUCAUCCUUGAAUUGUGCCGCUAUAAUUGACCAGCGACCAUAAUAUUAGGUCACACCAUGAUUUAUUCAAGAAGGCUUACUGUGAAUUGUAAGGAAAUGAAAUAAAAACCAGAUACCAAAUUGUUGCAGAUGCACUCAUAGGAUAAACUCCGAAGCAUCAAAGUAGUCAACAGAUGAUAUUAGAAAAAACAAUACAAUUAGACUCACUUGAUAUGUUGCAGGUUAGACUCAAAUGUGAGACACGCAAAAUUAAGGUGUGAUUUGACUGUAUACAGAUUGUGCCCAAACAUAGUUGCUUGUUUUUGGAAGAACAAAAGAGGGAAACUAUUGCUACAGAAGAUAGAAUGAAGAAACCUCAUCAUGGGCAUACCUUCAAAUAAUACUCUCUCCGUCCAAAAAUACUUGUCUACUCUCUCCGUCCAAAAAUACUUGUCGGAGAAAUGAGUGUACCUAGAUGUAUUUUAGUUCUAGAUAGACCCAUUUUUAUCUAUUUCUCCGGCAAGUAUUUCCGGACGGAGGGAGUAUAUAGAAUGUUUGGAAACAUGUUUAGACAUUAAGAAUAAUGUUGGCCUACUUUAAAAAUGUUUCUAUGGUGGGUAGAUGGCCUGACCCACUUGCAUCCCUGAAUCAUAUGCAAAACUACCUUUUACUGGCACGUCCAUAGCUAUAAAAUAUAAAAGACUGGCAAUAAGAUUGUCUACCACUCCUAUGAAUGAUUCCCUUUCUACCAUGAUUUGGUCAAGUCUAAAUGCUUAAACUGUUCUGCUAUCCUAAAAUCAAAAGGUAACAUCUCAAAUAGUGUUGUUUCUUUAAAAUGAAUCUGGGUUAGAGUAUAGUACCCUUUCUUGAAGGGUAUCAUUGGCAGCCUUCAGUCUGCAUUCCUGCAAAACAUUGGCACAAAAAGACACUGGUGAAGGGAAUUGUCGUGCUCAUCUUUCUACAAGUAAGUUCAAGAAAUCUCAUUAGAGAAAUAAAAUUUCAUGUGGAGCGGACCUUGAUCUUGAGCAUCUUAAUCUCCCUAAAUAUUAUCCACAUCUGCUCAACAUAAAGGGGCAGUGUAUCAAAAGUAAUAAGUUUUGAAAACACAUCUGUUCUGAACACACACACACACUCCCCGCCACCGCUGCCUCAAGUCUCCCCGAGCUGCUAUUCUUUCCUCAAUAACGGACAACUCCAGCCGCCUCCCUGCUCAACGGUGACUGCUCUAGCCCUCCCCUCCUUGCGAUAGAUGGAGGCGCAGAUCCGCGCGAAGCAGCCGUUAUGGGGUAAACAAGGAGAACAACAACUAAGGUA